AAGCCUCCUGGAAUGUCACGUCACCCAACAAGUCCCUCAUCACUCGGGUCAAGUGCGCGAUGUCAUAAAAUGAGCCGUGCUUAAUAAACCUCAUCAGCCGUUGAAAUACUUGCAACCUAUCAUCAUCGUCACUGAACACGGAAAAAUCGCCAUAUCCAACAUUUGCAAGGAUCUCAGGCAUUUCCUCAUCUGUAUAGACGCACAGAACCGCACCAACAAUACUACCCGCCGAGGAACCAGAGAUAAUGCGUGGCAACAAUCGUGUCUCCCAAAGUGCUUUCGCAACACCGAUAUGAUUCAUGCCAAAGGUGGCGCCUCCUGAAAGUAGAAGUGCACUUCGACCAAAGGCUUGACGAGCCGCGAGGAGUUGUUCCAACAAGUAUCUCGACUCGGAGCCAUCGAAAUCAUACUUUCGCGACACAUCCAAUAAAGUUGAUAGCGUUUCAGCAGCGGUCGUGAUAUACUGAUCUAUCAGAUUCUUCGUCCCGAUCCGUGAAUGCUUAUAUAUAUUCUUAUUUGUCAUCCCUCCAAGAUCGCGACUGAGAGAGGUACGGAUAAUAUGGAUCAUAGCUGCUGCGUCACAGCUACGCUGGGCCUUCUCGAGCUGAGAUAGCCUCCGUUGAACAAGCAUCGGGUCAUAUUCGUCACAUUCAAAAGUCGCCUUCCAGUCAUUGUUACCAUCUAGUUCAUCAAGCUCCCCCGCAAUCUCCAACCAAUCGUGGAGUGUAGUAGCCUGCACCCAAAAAAGUCAGAGGGAAAGCCCCAGAAUUGGCAGAGAGGUUAGAGUAAUGCUUACAUCGCGAAGUCUCAGGGAAAGUACGUGUUUUCUCUCUUUGAUUCUCAACUCCUCCGCCUUCGCAGGCUUAGCCCUGAGAUUCAAUAUGGCACCUCCAGCUCGCGACACGGAGGACAAGACGAAGGAAAACAGUGAGUUGGCAGUGAGUUUCCGCAGGCAGGAAAGGUCCUGUCCCGGUCGAGGGUUUGUCGUUAGGGAGAUUGGCAAUCGGUUUUGCCGCUGGCAUGAGAUUGAAACAAGCGCUUGAUCUCUUAAGUGCGGCAUGACAGCGCGAGUUAUUAUCCAAAAAACGACCUGGGGUUCAAUGCAUAUGUUCAAACAGGGCAACGCGAACCGCUCAGCGAACCCAUCCGGCGACGAAAAGGAGAGUAUUUAGUUUUGGCAAAUCAUGCUUAGGUAGUCGGAAUAAAGAUAUCAGGAAUUGAGGCCAUCGUCUGCUGACGAGAACUUGUCGCAUUUCUGUAUCUGGUGGUUAUGUCACGCGGCAAAAUUUCCUUCCUCUAGGGCUAGUGCGGCCAGCCUAUAAGACUUCAUAGAUCUCGCUCGAAGUCUUGGAAGUAGUUCGGGGUACCUUCCUACCGAAAGAGGUGUGGGGAUGUUGGAAGUUGGUACAUGGGAGUACUUGAGCAACAAAUCGCCACAUGUUUAGUCAACAUCUCUGAUGUCCAUCCUUGCUCCUGCAGCUCCUGCACUCAAGUAUGGUAGAUGGGGAAAGAGAAAGAGGAACGAUUUCCAGAACAUGGAAUACAUCUAGAUAGAGGACAUCGGAAUGGCCAGGCGAAUUUCAUCGUCAAGGGUGGUUUGUGCUGGGUAAGGCAGUUGAGGCCAUCUUCUUGCAGUUCAUUUUAACCAUUUUCAUGGAUCUUCAUUGCCAAACACCUCGAGAUUUAGGCUAUCUUUAGUUAAACUGUAGUGGUUUGUUCAUGUGCCACAGACAAUAACCCCCUUAGAACCCAGCUGUAACUCUUGUUAAGACAUGGAAUGGAAAUACUUAAUGCCAG
rnacentral:sRNA from 1 species